GGGGACGCUCCGCGCGGCGCUGCCUUCCCGGGCGGCGGUCCGCGGCUCAGGACCGGGAGGCCGCGCGGACCCACGGGCGCUCCGAGGACGGGCGCGGAGUUCUUUCUGGGAGAGCACUUUAUAAACUGCUGGGUCUUCUGGGUAUGGCUUUCCACGGGUGGAGCAAAGCCCAUUUUCACCAGGCAAAGUGGAUGACAACAGAGUCUGCAAGUCUGGCAGCCACAGGUGCCCCGGGAGGACCUUGAUAUCGUCUGUCCCCAGGGCUCCGUGCGACGAGGACAUUCCGCAGGGCACCCUUCAUGUCAGGACCGUGAGACAUCGUCCUGCUUAUUAAACACCAGCAAAGAUUUCUGAUAAUUCAAGAGUGCGGGAAGUCCAGCACUGAGAACUAAGUUGUGGGACUUCACAGACCCGCCUGUCUGGCCCCACUUUGCCCUCUCCAGGCUGCACGCACUGCCACCCUCUCUGGUGCCUGUGGAGCGGGUGUCCAGGAAGCUUCAGACCGGCUGGAGGGCUUCGGCCAGAGGAGACACGCCCUUGGUUCUCAGCGGGCUCGGCAGCCAGACAGGCCAGCAUCGUGUAUUCGGAUGGCCCUGUGCAUGGGUUGGAGCUCGCCAAGGAUCUCGGGGGCUAUGUCCGCAGACGUCUAUGCUUCCGCUUUCUGUGGCCCCUCACCAGUGCCCGGCCACCCCAUCCAGCCAUCUUAAGAACCUCAGCGAGGAUUUCCUCUGCCCAGUGACACUGCGGUCUCCUUCCCAGGCCCUCUCCCCCCACACCAGGAAGCUGCUGUGAAGGUGGGACUCACUUCCCGUGCUUCCUCUCUCACCAGGAUUGCAGCCUUGUAUUGGAUGUGUCCCACGGCCUUAAAGAGCUGUUUUUCCUAUUUUGUCCAGUCACCCACCGGCUUCCCCAUCAUGGCCAAACUGGACUUUCCUCUGCUACCUCCUCCUGACUUUCAGAUCCAGAUAAAAUGCAUUUCUCCAGUUUCCUUUCUUAUUCUGAAUGCAAAAUUAAUCUUUCAGUGCUUCAUUUAUAAAAUGCAUCCCAUCACACAUCAUUAUGUGACUUGUCUUCUAGACUGAGGGCUCCCUGAGGGGAAUGGCUGAGUCCGACCACUGCUCAGUGACCACCCCAGCACGGCCCCGGCACACCACGCGUGGCCCGUUAGCGUGAGCCGUGCUGCACGCAGCUGACCUGAGAGGAGCCCAGGGCAGGUGUCCUGCUUGCAGGGCACGGCCAACGGGCAGGCGGAACGUGCCUCCGGAAAGCCUUCUGCCCUGUGGCCUCUGUCAUGUGACUGCGGUGGACCUAACCACGUUUCUUAACAAGAGCGGCUGCUGGAUGAGCUGUGGAUUUGUGCAAGUUUGCAUCUGAAGACUGUCCAGACCCUCCUCUGCGCUGCCCUCUUGAGGCGUCACUUGGCGAACGUACAGAUUUCUCAGGGCAAAGGGCUGCCGAAAAGUGACCAGAAGUGCUGGCCAAGCUAGAAAACAGGGUAUCCUGUGAAGGCAGGGUGCGUGGCGUUUCGGUACGGCCACACCCCGCGGUGGGUGAGGGCCACCAGAGAGGUGUGGCGCCAUCACACGUGGAACCGUACCCCCUCGAACAGAUACGGUAAAGUCCUAGCCUCCAGAACCUCAGAACGUGGCCUUAUUUGGAAACAGGGUCAUCGCAAGCGUGGUCUGUGAAGGUAAGAAGGGAGCGUGUUGGAGUGGGGGU